GUAACGCGUAGGUAACCUGCCUUGUAGCGGGGGAUAACUAUUGGAAACGAUAGCUAAUACCGCAUAACAAUGGAUGACACAUGUCAUUUAUUUGAAAGGGGCAAUUGUUCCACUACAAGAUGGACCUGCGUUGUAUUAGCUAGUAGGUGAGGUAAUGGCUCACCUAGGCGACGAUACGUAGCCGACCUGAGAGGGUGAUCGGCCACACUGGGACUGAGACACGGCCCAGACUCCUACGGGAGGCAGCAGUAGGGAAUCUUCGGCAAUGGGGGCAACCCUGACCGAGCAACGCCGCGUGAGUGAAGAAGGUUUUCGGAUCGUAAAGCUCUGUUGUAAGUCAAGAACGGGUGUGAGAGUGGAAAGUUCACACUGUGACGGUAGCUUACCAGAAAGGGACGGCUAACUACGUGCCAGCAGCCGCGGUAAUACGUAGGUCCCGAGCGUUGUCCGGAUUUAUUGGGCGUAAAGCGAGCGCAGGCGGUUUGAUAAGUCUGAAGUUAAAGGCUGUGGCUCAACCAUAGUUCGCUU
rnacentral:rRNA from 1 species